GACGAACGCUGGCGGCGUGCUUAACACAUGCAAGUCGGGCGGUAAGGCCCUUUCGGGGGUACACGAGCGGCGAACGGGUGAGUAACACGUGGGUGACCUGCCCUCAGCUCUGGGAUAAGCCUGGGAAACCGGGUCUAAUACUGGAUAUGACUCCAUGACGCAUGUUGUGGGGUGGAAGCCUUGUGCGGCUGAGGAUGGGCCCGCGGCCUAUCAGCUUGUUGGUGGGGUNAUGGCCUACCAAGGCGACGACGGGUAGCCGGCCUGAGA
rnacentral:rRNA from 1 species